rnacentral:rRNA from 1 species
UAGCCUUAUCGGUGGAUCACUCGGCUCGUGGAUCGAUGAAGAACGCAGCAAACUGCGAUAAUUGUGCGAACUGCAGAAACCUUGAGCACAAAAGUUUUGAACGCAUAUUGCCGCAUUGGGGUCAAACCCUUUGCUACGUCUGGUUCAGGGUCAUUUU